UCGGGAAGCAGUCUUGGCUCCAGCCUGGCUUCUUCUGUCGUCCAGAUGCAGCCCAGCAUCUCAGAUGUGGGCCACUUGCAUCCUUCCUCCUCCUCUAGGUGGGCAACGCUUAGAGGGAGGGACCACUGGGAACUUAUCUCAUCCGUCCUGUCAUCCUCCAGACCAUCCUGGAAUACAGCUAUUGUGAGGGUUGGUGGCACUCUUUGGGACCUAAUUUCUUCCUUUACUGUUUGUUCACAAAUAAAUGGCAGACAACUUUCACUGGCUUAUUUGGGUGUAGCGAUAAUCUUUGUGAUUAGUAUUCAUUAAUUUAAUAGCUGCUGCUUAUAUAUUUCAAUAUGAUGCUUUUUUAAUGUUCGGAAUCCCAUGAAGCAAAAGUUAAAAAAGAGAGAGAGAACCCAAGAGAACUAUUCUGCACAUGCACAGAGAGCAACUCCUGCUUAGAACUCCCAGGCCCCCCUGUUUCCUACUGUAUGUCUGUCUGUCGUGGGCGCAUGUCGAUGGGCCGCAGCUGCCGGCACAGCAUUCCAAGCCCAAUUGUUCAUUGUGGAAAGGAUCUUUUUGUUCGGCUUCUUCUCCCCUAGCCCAUCACCUGCCCCACAAUCUGUUAGGCCCGAGCUGUGAAAGAGUGAGGGACGCUGGCAGCUGCCGAGCCCCUCGGGGUCUGCACAGGCCACCCUGGCUGGAGGAAGGUGGGGGUUUCAGCUUCAUGGCAUCUGAUUCUCUGGCAGGAAACAGGGAGUGUGCGAAGAGAAGAAUUGCACCCCAAAGAAGGUUUGAGGCUGAAGGCACUGACAAGGGCAGUUCAUGAAAUCUAUUAAUAAAAGUCAUAAAAAUAAGAACAAAUUCUUUUUAAACAUCCUCUCUAUGACAGGGAUUGUUCGGGGUGCUUUGCUUAGACGAGCUCCUUAAAUUCUCACUACUCUGUGAAAUCGCCAUUAUUUUUAUCUGGUUUUACAGAUGAGGGUCAUAGAAACGAACUGGUUUACAUAUACAUAAAUGGUAAUCGUUUAAAAAAACUAAUUGGGUUGGAGGGACAGUCUUGGACCAACCCAUGGAGAUAGACUUGCAGGGUAGGAGUUGAGAAGGAAGCAAGGGAGGGAGGAAACAGUAUGGGCUUUAUGCUUUGUGCACGUUUAUUCCUCUGCAGCUGUGCACUUGGUUUGCUGGUGCUGGUGGUGGCUUAGCAUUCAUAGUUUUUCUCAGGAAAAUAGGUAAAUGUCCUAGGCACCCCAUUUAAAAUGUUUCUGGCUGACCUUGGGAGUCAUCCAAUAACUCAUAUAAUACAAUCCAGCGGCCAUAUGAGCUUCUGCUACGAAAACAUGGUUCUCUCCCAUAGUCAAGUGCAAGCUUCAUAUGAGUGAGAAUAUGGGGCUGCUCUUCCUCUCCCAGGUUUGGGGACAGUGGUCAAUCAAAAGCAGCGGCUGAUGGGCAGGAGAGGCGGGGGGCCAAGGAGAAGCUGUGGCUGUGCCUUUGAGAAGAUUAAAAGGUCUCAUCUCUUCCAGUGAAUCAGGGAACUUAGGAGCUGAGACAAGUUUCCUUAUAACUAGUGAAACCUGUCAGAUCAAGAUCUUCCAAAGGGUUUGGCAUGUGAGUUUCAGAAGUGAAAGUUUGCACAGAUGAGAAAGACCACUGGGUUCUUUGGUCCAGAGAACUAGAAAGAACCAGCAUUAAUAGACUUGCCAUUCAUGAGCCAGCUGAGGCCCAGAAGGUGAUCAAUUUAUGUAAGAAUACAAAAGAAAUAGAUUUCCAGGGAAAUGGUGUGAGAUAACCAAGACAGUGCUAACCAUCCACUUGUGAGAAUGUCCCCAAUUUGGGUGUGAGUUGUUGUCUUUGUCAAGCUCAACCUCAUAUGGUCAAAAAGUCAAAAUUUGCCUUCAAAAUCUUCAGGAAAAAAAAACAACAAUAAAAACUUUUAAUAGCCAAUUACUUGAUCAUUCUUGAGUCUGAGGAACUAAAUUCUUAUUGACUUAGAACACAUAAAGAAUUGUGAACCCAAAGGUCAAGUUCGAAAUGGGAAUACCUAUGACAAAAGUCUUGUCUUAACACUCGUCCUGGUUUCCCUGGUCAUAACAAGAUGCAAGGAAGGAAAUCGAUGGAACAGAUUAGAAAAUGGAGUGAAAGUUGGGCUGGAAAAACAAAACAAACAAUGACAACAAAAUCAAAACAUUUCAGACGAGGCAUAAAUGCGGAAACGAAGCCUAGGAUGGAAUAUAAAGGCACGUUUCUCUGAGUUUUGCACAGGGCAAAAGGCAUUGAUAUGGCAGGCGCAUGUAGGUCUUUUCCAUACUAUUUGUUUGGUUUCUUACCUGCCCAAAUCUUCUGACUUUGGCAGGUGAUGCUAAUAGGAAGAAUGGGGAGUUUUGGUGUGUCACUUGGCCACUUGUGUGCUAUGUGAUAUUGGCGAAGUCCCCACCUUUCUGUCCCUCCUCUCUGCACCAGAUCCCAUGCCACUUAUCUGCAAAUAGUGGUUGUGUAACCCCAUCUGCCCAUCAUGGGGCAGGUUGGAGAUUAAUGACAUAACACACAUGAGGGUCUUGAGUUUCUUAGAACAGGCCGAUGGCAAUAUAAAAUGUCACUCACCAUGUUAUUGAAAGCAAGAUUUAUUUCUCCCUCCCUCUGCCCUGUAAUCAGACAGUUGUUUGAAAGCCUUAAAUUAAUUGUCCUUUCCCUUGUUCUUGAGAAUCAAGUACCAUUUUACAGCAUUUGGAACUUAAGUAACAGUAAAAGUAUCAUCAGAAAUGUAAACAGCAGACACAGUUCUUUUUCCUAUUUCUCUCUCCGAGCAGGGGAGUAUUUGAACAUAAAUGACUCAGACACAACAUUACAGAGAAGUGAGGAUGGUGAUUUCGCAUUAAUGCUCCUCAGAAAGCCUCUUAGAUUUGGGAAAAAUCAAGGGCGGGUUGAGACAGAGGGAAGUCUGGAUUAUAGACUAACACCAUGUAAUCUUCAAGGUUAUUGGCGGCAGAGGGGUGUGGGGAGGAAGAGCAUGGCCGGGGCAUCUGUGCAUUCUGGCUCUAUGACCUUGAGCAAGCUACUUAAGCUCCUUGAGCCUCAGUUUCCUCAUCUGUAAAGUGAGAAUAAUAAUACUGACUCAACAGGAGGCUUCAAUGAGGUAGAUUUAUGUAACAUGCUGUGAACACAGCGUUAGAUGUCUAAUAAGUAAUUCGUAUGACUAUUAUUUAAUAUUAAUUAAUAUAAAUACAGCAACUGAAACUACUCAGCACAUGAAGGUCUUUAUAUUUGAUUGACUAGUUUCAUUCAGAUGACAAUUGUUAUGCAAGGGGUGGUUCUAAGAUACUUGGGAAAGCUUAAAUAUUAUCAAAAAUAUUUCUCCCACAAUUUUGGUUUCUCUUUUUUUAAAAAAAAAUUUUCAUAUUUUGCUAUGUUUGAAAAGGAUUUGUUAAGAAAAGAUAUCCAUCAGCACCAUUUCUGACAAAAUUUUCAGGACUUUUAUGAAACAAUAUAGAUGAUGAGAUGCCCUGAGUGUCCCCUUAUUGACCACAAGGCCUUUGCCCUCUGACAACAGAUCUGACCUUGGUUAGACAUGUGUAUGCUGGAUGAGGAGAGGAAAUCAGGACUUCCUGCAGAAGAAAAAUCACCGGUGUCUCAUUCUCUGAAUUUCGAAUUUAGGCAUCUUAGCGCUCCCUAUCCUUUCUCUGCCCCACAGUUAGGCCGGGAAGUUUUAAACAAUCGGUAAUAAUUUCUUAAACUAUAAUCAAAAUUGCAUGCUUUUAUGGAGAUUAGAACUCCGCUAGCGUCUGCAGGAGGAGCGUCUGCAAAGAUACGGCCACCCCAAAGUCUGAGCACUUGUGACCUUAUACACUGGAAUCACUGCUGGUGUUCUUGGUGGCUGUCCAUGAAACAAGUUAUGCUGGAGUUCACCAAGUUACAAGCCAAAUUAUUUGUGGUUUACCAUCAUCUGGCUGAGGAGGUAGGAAAUAAAGCAGAGACCCCUCCUUUUAAGGCAAGUAUGGGGUAGUACGUUAGGGUAGGACCUUCUUUUUCCUAAGGCUCAGCCAGAACGUCUUGCUAUUUUUAGAGGACCGGCCAGUUCUGAAUAUUGAUUCAGUCAUGGGCAUGUGUCCCAUUUUAACUUCCCAGGGGCAGCCAGGAACAAGGCCAGCUUCGAAAGCCCAUCUUCUCUCCCUGCAGGCAUCCUGCCACCUUUCUCAGAAGAGGUGCUGAAAUAAGCCAUCUGGACCGGGACCCAGGAAUCUGCCUUUUUGCAACCACUCCUGAUUUGUUCUGUUGCAAGUGGGACUUUGAAAAACAUUGAUCUAAUGAUAAACAAGAAAGAGAGACACAGAUACUGAAGUAAUGAAAUCAUCAAUACUGGAAAGGACUCAUCUUACAACAGUCUAAGGGAAAUGACUUAGUUUGGAGUAAAGGAAGAAUUUCUUCAAACAUGAAAACUACCCUUCGCCCUGGGUCAUGGCAGAAAUGUGGGGCCUUGGACACCAGCUGUUCCCCAGGAGGUUUUCCCAGCUGCUGCUAUGGCCAACUCUGUGGUGGAGGAGCCCAGGGGUGGGGGAUUCCAAGAGCAGACAUUCCAUGUAGGAUGGAGCCAAACCAGGUCAAAGGCAGAACAGUUGAACUAUUUGGGAAACAGAUAUGAAUGCUGAGAGCACUUGUUUGCACAAAUAAGAAGGUGGAAAUGGAAGGAAUUUUAUGAUGGCAAUUUCUCAAAAUUCUUUGAUCAACAGGUGAAUUUUAUGGCAGAAAUUGUAAUAGUAUUUUCUUAUCAAAAUUAUUAUUCAUGAUCUGUCACUUGCAUCUUGAUGAGGUUCUCCUUCAAUUUUGUUGACAGCUAAGAAGUGGAACUACAUGACUUGCAGAAGAAUUUGUCACCCAGUUCUGAGAGCAUUUUAUUGGGAGAGGCAAUCUGCCAUGGACCCUGAGUUUCCCUGCAUAUCCUUGCUGACUAUGCCAAGAAGACAAGGCUCUGGCUGCUUUUUAUCUGGGCCAUUUCUCAGGGCAGUGAGCUACCUUGAGAUGAGGUAGCAUUUCUACCCAGUCAAAGAGCAAGCUUGCUUCUGCUUGCUAUAAAAGUGUUGAAUCCCCCAAGCUCAGUGUGAUACAAAUCCACAGUGUAGACAGCAUGCAUCUAAGUCCAUCCAUCUUCUUGUGUUGCCCCCAUGGGACUUGAAUGACAUAGGAAACCAAUUCGAACAAUCAUCAUGCCAGGCUUCUUGCUGUGCCAAGAGUAAUAAAGGCCAUAGUCUCUGACCCACAAGUUUCAUGUCUUUUCCACCAUCCAUGAAACCUUAACAGACUAGUUUAUUAGCUUUUAAGUAGGAUAAAAUCCCAGAUCCCUCACAGACCCUGACAUAGUUAUGUUUUUAAUUUCUGGGGAGAAAACCAAGAAGGUAGUACCAUGACUCAUUAAAUGACUGUUAAUUGUAGCAGUUACUCUUCCACGUGGAGCUAUCUUGUUUACUAUAAUGCAA
ensembl:lncRNA